rnacentral:tRNA from 1 species
UGACAGGUAGUUCAAUUGGAUAGAAUUCCAUACUACGAAUAUGGAGAUACAGGUUCGAGUCCUGUCCCGUCAA